CUGCCUUAUUGCCAGUUACAUUAAAUACAAUCUCUGACAAGAGUUUAUUAACACUGCACGGUAGUCAACAUCUUUUAGUGAUGCUGAAAGUCGUCCUACACAAUAACCCUCCCCACUCUCGUCUCCCUCACACCAGCCACGAAGGCUUUCAAAGAGAGAGAGAGAAUCCGAAGCAGGCGCCUCUGACAGGGGGGCUCAUCUCCGGAAGCGUGAGCUCAUGACCCAAGCCGCAACUAAGAGUCGGACGCUUAACCGACUGAGCCACCCAGGUGCCCCACGUGCACAUAUUUUGAAAUGUAAUUAUUAAAUAAUGAUCGAAUUAAAAUGAAGUGUGAAAUGUA